rnacentral:rRNA from 1 species
UAUGAAUGAAUUUACUAAUACGGCUUUUUGUUUUUUCUGAAUUUAUAUUUUGUUGAAAAUAACAAAAAUAACUUUAAGACUAAAAGACCCUAAAAUUUUUAUAAUAUGAUUUUAUUAUUUAGUUGGGGAAAUAGUAAAAAAUUAAUAUUUUAAAAGGUUUUUAUUUUAGAACUUUUUUUAUUGAUAAAUGGUAAAAUACUCUAGGG